GAUGAACGCUGGCGGCGUGCCUAAUACAUGCAAGUCGAGCGAACAGAUGAGGAGCUUGCUCCUCUGACGUUAGCGGCGGACGGGUGAGUAACACGUGGAUAACCUACCUAUAAGACUGGGAUAACUUCGGGAAACCGGAGCUAAUACCGGAUAAUAUAUUGAACCGCAUGGUUCAAUAGUGAAAGACGGUUUUGCUGUCACUUAUAGAUGGAUCCGCGCCGCAUUAGCUAGUUGGUAAGGUAACGGCUUACCAAGGCAACGAUACGUAGCCGACCUGAGAGGGUGAUCGGCCACACUGGAACUGAGACACGGUCCAGACUCCUACGGGAGGCAGCAGUAGGGAAUCUUCCGCAAUGGGCGAAAGCCUGACGGAGCAACGCCGCGUGAGUGAUGAAGGUCUUCGGAUCGUAAAACUCUGUUAUUAGGGAAGAACAAAUGCGUAAGUAACUAUGCACGUCUUGACGGUACCUAAUCAGAAAGCCACGGCUAACUACGUG
rnacentral:rRNA from 1 species